UCCGCUUUCAGUUUUCCUUCGAAAAUCUUGCUUCUCCCGCUCCUCUUUUAUCAACCAAUACUCUGAGGUCUCAUUUCUUUGGGAUUUAAUUAGGUCAAUGUCAGAGAAUGCAUCCAAUACUGUUGCUACAUCCAACUCUGGUACUCCUUCAUGUUCAGUGGCAUCACAGAUACCAUCACUAGAUGAUGACAGUGAAAAAAGUGCAUCAGGUGGAAGGAAACGUACCCAAGCACAAGUGGGUUCAAUUGAAACAGGUAACCAAGGGAAAAAGUUAGCGAAUUGGAAAUUCAAUGCUGAACAUAGCAAAUUACUUAUUGCAGAAAUGAUUGCUAAGCAUAAUUAUCCUUAUAAUAUGGUCCAGAACACAUAUUUUCGUGAGUUUGUGAAGUCUCUCACCCCGUCUGCCGAUUUAGUACUUGAUGGGUUUACAGUUUAGAAAGAAGUUUCUAAACUGUAUAGUAAGUUGAAACUUGAGUUACAAGGGUGUUUAGAUUGGUUGACAUCUAAAUGCAGUCUCACUAUCGAUACAUGGACAGGUAGUUCAGAUCCUAAUAAUGGUUAUUGUUGUGUAACUUGCCACUAUAUAUUUGAUGAUUGGAAGUUACAUAAGAAAAUAAUUACGUUUGCUCCGGUGUCAUUUCCAUAUGUUGGGGAAGAUUUAGGGGAAUUCGUUAAAUCAGUGGCAUUGGAGUGGAAUAUCGAUGAUAAAUUGUUUUCUGUAGCUGGUGAGAAUUGUUCUACCAAUGAUGUGAUGAUGAGGAACCUCAAGGAAUGGGUUAAUGGCAAGGGAUCUAUGGUUCUUGAAGGGGACUUAUUUCAAAUCCAGUGCAGCAACCAAAUAUUACAGUUAAUUGCACAAAAGGGUAUCGAAGUGGCCGCUGGAUUGAUAGUAAAAAUUCGAGAAUGUGUUAAAUAUAUUUGGUCUUCACAAAGUAGAAAAGAGAAGUUUGAAAGUGCGUUGAUUCAAGUGAAACUCGCUGGAUGGUCGGUACAUUUAGAUGUAGGCAUGACAUGAGUUUCGACUUAUUAUAUGCUUGAAAGUGCUACUGAUUUGCGCCAAGGAUUUGUGUGUUUAGCCAAGUUAGACAGUGGUUUCAAGUGUCUACCAAAUUCAGAUGAGUGGGAACAAGGGAUAAUGAUAUAACAAUCAGGUUUGCACAUGAGCAUCAUCUAACAACAACUAUGUAUUUUGCAAGUAUUUCUGAAGUUAACAUGCACAUCCGUACAUGGGAAUCUAGUACCCAUAAAUAUAUUAGAGAAAUGGCGUCGGAGAUGAGAGGAGACUUUGACAAAUAUUGGAGCACAUGUAGUUUGUUGAUGAGCGUUGCAGUGGUUUUAGAUCCACGGUAUAAGGCGAAAAUGGUAAAUUUUGUUUUUAAUAAAUUAUAUGGCGAACAUCUCUCCAAAACCUAGAUCAGCAAUUUUCGUCAAGCAUUGAACAAUAUUUUUUCAUCAUAUGAAUCUCAAAGUGGCUCUUCAAGUCCCGGCUAUUUUGGCAACUUGAAGGUUUCCUCACUUUAUCUUGAAUUUGCUGAGUUUAUGAAGCAAAACAGUAAUGAUCAAAAAACAGAGCUGGAGAAUUACUUGGAAGAACCGUGUAUUAAGUUUCCAGAAGGCGCCGAUGAAUCAAAGUUUGAUGUAUUAAGUUGGUGGAAAAGUUAUGGCGCUAACUACCCAACACUUGCAAAAAUGGCUCGUGAUAUCUUGGUUGUUCCAGUGUCAACUGUAUCUCCACAUUCUGCCUUUAGUGGUGAUAAUAGGGUACUUACAGGACAUAGGUCUUACCUAAUUCCAGAAGUCAUUCAAAAACUAACUUGCUUAAACAGUUGGUUGCCGUAACUCGACGAUGUUGGUUACAGUAACCAAACUUAGGCGAAGGUGGAAAUCAACGAGGCAGUAUAUAUAUAUAUAUAUAUAUAUCGUACAAAAAUGGGUCCUCUCACGAUGGAGUGCGACCUGCCUCGUAAAAAUGGGAUCUCCUUAACUUUUGCGGGCGAUGGGACGGGUUUUGGGUGGUUUUUUGUGUUAUCCGUUGAGUAUUAUUCCAGAAAUGUCAUUACGUGGAUGAUUCCUGAACCCAAUAGAGUGACAUGUGUGUUUUCAGCUAUUCUUGAAGCAGAAUUUCGAGAGAAUCAUACGGUAGUUUGGAUAAUCAAGAUAACUAACAGGUUAAAAUGUCCCAAUUUUAUUAUCGGGAUAAAUCUGGGUGAAUCAUCUUUGAAAGAAUUUACACGCAAAAAAAUAUUAU